rnacentral:rRNA from 1 species
GACGAACGCUGGCGGCGUGCUUAACACAUGCAAGUCGAACGGAAAGGCCUCGUUCGGGGGGUACUCGAGUGGCGAACGGGUGAGUAACACGUGAGUAUACCGCCCUUUUCUUUGGGGUAACUUUAGGAAACUGGGGGUAAUACCGGAUAGGAGCUCCUGCUGCAUGGGGGGGGGUGGAGAGUUUCGGCGGUUGGGGGUGGGCUCGCGGCGUUUCUCCUUGUUGGUGGGGUAGUGGCUUACCAAGGGUUUGUCGGGUAGGCGGCCCGAGAGGGUGACCGGGCCAAAUGGGACUGGGAUACGGCCCCGGCCCCUACGGGGGGCAGGAGGGGGGAAUAUUGCACAAUGGGUGGGAGGCCGGUGCAGCAAAGCCGGGGGCGGGAAGACGGGCUUUGGGUUGGAAACCGCUUUCGCUCAUGGCGGAGCUUUGUGUGACGGUAGUGGGUAAAGAAGCACCGGCUAACUACGUG